GGCUGAAGAAUAUGGACCAGUAUUCCGUUUCAAUGCCUUUCACAGAGUCUCCUUGUUCAUCCUAAGUCCUGAGGGCAUCAAAGAGUACUUGAUGUUGCCACAAUACCCAAAAGACCGAUUUUAAUAUGAACACCUUCACACUGUGUUUGGUGUAAGACUUUUAGGAAAUGGGUUAGUAACAGAUUGUGAAUAUGACCAUUGGCACAAGCAGAGGAGAAUUAUGGAUCCAGCUUUCAG